UUCAGCUCUUGGGGCUUCAGUAGGACCUGCCUUUCAGUAACUUUCAGAGGCAUGGGGAGCCCUUCCCUGAAAGAGGGGAGAAGGUAACAUCUUAGAAACUGUGAUAAAAUGAUCUCAGGACCCAAAAAGAAAAUGGACAAGCCUGGCAAUGAGAGUUUGCAAUGUGAUGCAAUCACAGGCAAUACCAGGGUGGAAAUUGGAUGGGCAGCUUUCUUCUCUCUAGAAGAUUUUCUUUCCAAGUCCAUUCUUUCUUUUCAUAUUUUCAUAGUUCUAAGGUGAGUGUUAACCUUGGAAUCCAUAGCUUCAGGGGCAGGGAGUAUGGGGACCAGUUAAAGAAGGAAUGGAUUAGAGAAAGCAACUUGGUGAGAUAACACCUCCUAUCACAACACCAGAACCUUUGAACACAUCAGUGUCAGACCUGCAGCUUUGUUCAUAAUUGUCAAAACUUGGAAGCAACCAUGAUGCCGAUAUCCUUCAGCAAGUGAACAAAUAAAUUAACUAUGUGUCUGUCCUGAAGACGCCUGACUUGGUGCCUUUGCCUGACAACUCUUUAGUGUUUAACUAAAGGCAGCGAAACCAUCCCCAGACAUGAAUUGGCAUGAGCAGAAGAAUCACAUUAAAAGAUUGGCUAGAAAACCUAUUGCUAUUUAAAGACAAGGAUUUAUUAAAAGUAAGAGCAUCAGUGGUGCAUCCUUAUGUCCUCCCUUUCUUAGAAAAUCAGUUUUCAUAAUUUCUCUUUGAAUCUGACAGGCUUUAAUUAUAUAACUGGUAGAGAAAUUUAACUUUGAUUUUCAACAUGCAAGAAAAAGAGCCAGGAAACUAUAUGUAUAUAUUAAUGUAUUAGCUAAUAUUUAGUGCAGAGAAGUACAAAGGAGAAAACAAGAGUUGGAUAAUUUUCCUUGUCAGAUAACUUUUUGGUAUUUUUAUAAAAUUAGCAAUGUAUGAGGCUAAAAAUAUACAAAAAUGUACAAAUCAAAAAAAUAAAAUUCUUUUCCUUUGUCCCCACCCCACCUCCCAGGCUUUCUCCAAAGUGUAACUGAUUGACGGUUUUAUAUAUCUUACAGUGGGGGUUGGAGGUCA